rnacentral:rRNA from 1 species
GACGAACGCUGGCGGCGUGCUUAACACAUGCAAGUCGAACGGAAAGGCCCUGCUUUUGUGGGGUGCUCGAGUGGCGAACGGGUGAGUAGCACGUGAGUAACCUGCCCUUGACUUUGGGAUAACUUCAGGAAACUGGGGCUAAUACCGGAUAGGAGCUCUUGCUGCAUGGUGGGGGUUGGAAAGUUUCGGCGGUUGGGGAUGGACUCGCGGCUUAUCAGCUUGUUGGUGGGGUAGUGGCUUACCAAGGCUUUGACGGGUAGCCGGCCUGAGAGGGUGACCGGCCACAUUGGGACUGAGAUACGGCCCAGACUCCUACGGGAGGCAGCAGUGGGGAAUAUUGCACAAUGGGCGGAAGCCUGAUGCAGCAACGCCGCGUGCGGGAUGACGGCCUUCGGGUUGUAAACCGCUUUCGCCUGUGACGAAGCGUGAGUGACGGUAAUGGGUAAAGAAGCACCGGCUAACUACGUG